AUCGCUUCUCGGCCUUUUGGCUAAGAUCAAGUGUUGUAUCUGUUCUUAUCAGUUUAAUAUCUGAUACGUCCCCUAUCUGGGGACCAUAUAUUAAAUGGAUUUUUGGGACAGGGAGAUGGAAGAAGAGCUUGCUCUGUCCACUCCAAGCAUUGACCUGGUAUUGCAGUACCUCCAGGACCGGUGCACCUCUC
rnacentral:snRNA from 1 species